AAGUCGUAACGAGGUCUCCGUAGGUGAACCUGCGGAGGGACCAUUAUCGAACGGCCUUUGGGCCUCGACCCUCCAUGCCCGUGGAUGCAAAGGGUGCUUCGGCGCGUCGUACGCCGCCCUUAAUGCUGUGGAAUUGUGUCUGAAUCAUAUUACCUAUGAAAACUUUCAACAAAGGAUCUCUUGGCUCUUGCAUCGAUGAAGAACGCAGCGAAGCGCGAAAUGUAGUGUGAAUCGCAGAACACCGUGAAUCAUUGAAUCUUUGAACGCACAUUGCGCCCCUCGUAGCUGGGGGGCAUGCCUGUCUGAGCGUCGUUUGAACCCAAUGCCCGCCCUCUGGGUGCGGCGUGCUGGGCUUCGCCCUCGGGCGUCGCCUCGAAGCCAUGGGCCGAGGUUGGCGGAUGAGAUCCGAUAGGACCGACCGCCCGACCCGCCCCGAUGCCCUUGAAUCAGACCUCAGAUCAGGUAGGACUACCGCCUGAACUUAA
rnacentral:rRNA from 1 species